CCGGACUUUAGCCUUGUGGGGGUGGUACACCCCCGAGGGGUUUAAAGCAAGGCUGUGAUGUCACCGGCGUUGGCUUUUAAGUAGCUCGUUCAGGCGCUUCUCAUCCUUCUUUCUUUUGCGUCCGCUCAUCUUCAUAUCUUGUGACACAUAAACUACAUGUGAUUAAAGUGGUGACACUAAAAACAGGAACUGGUAGUAGGCUGACAUUUACGCAUGCAUAGUCCGUCAUCUGCUGCCAUGUGACAAGCAGUUCUGCAGGUGCACUUUAUGGCCCAUUCUCUACCAUGGUUGUUGCUCCUCCUUGGUCUUUUCAUAGGGUCAGGAACACUGGGAGAAGAUACAGUGGGGAAGAUAUCCUUGGGGAGUUGGCCACUUGGCCCCUGGAGGUCCCAGCAGAGCAAGAGGUAGAAAGUGUUACAUGGAGCUCUUGAGAGCGUGUUGCUGUUUUACAACAAGGAUGAACAGACAAACCAGUUCUGGUUUCUGAGACUCAGGGACCCUACAGUGGAUGACUGAACAUUCCCCACCACAGCUACUCUCUUCAGAUCAGCCCCCUGAGGCUGCAGGACUAUAAGCCUAUAAGCCUGGGUAACUCUGCAUACUUCCUCAAUCAUUAUCACCAGGGAUUUCACCCUGCUUGUCUAUGAGAUGCUGUAGGAGUUGAACAUCUUUGCCAGCUCCCAGAUCAUGAAGGAUGGGACCUGCUUCAUCACCCUGGCCUGCUCCCUGGAACAGGCUGGAGAGAAUGUGCAGAACAGCUGGGAGCCUCCUAGUCAUGGGGCAGUUGUGUCCCAUGGGGGGACCACUCUCAGUGUCCCCUGGAUAUCUGGGGAAAGUGAGAGCUAUCACUGCACUGCCAGGAAUCCCACCAGCCAGAGCUCCAGCUCUGUCCUUACCAGACCCCUUUGCUCAGGAGCAAUUGAAGAAAGGGAGGAGCCAGAUUAGUUGGCAGCAGGAAGUGUCUCUGGGGUGGCAGGAGACAAGGGCUCUGGAGCCACCAUCCCAGGGCCCGCUUCGGUCCACCUUUUCUCUGUUGGCCUCGGUCCUCUGUGCCUGACCUGCUGCAGACUCAGCGAGGCAUUCAGCUCAUUCCUGGGACUCCCUGAGGAAAAGUGCUGCCUCACCCACACUCAACCCUGCACAGCCCACUGAGGAGAGCUUCGAAACCCCUUGCCUGUGUUCUCAGAGAGGACUUACCACCUCCCCUUGCCUAGAGGUGCUCUGAGAGACACUUGAGGCUGUGCUCUUCUGGCAGGCAAGGGGAGGCCUCUCAUGGUGUCCCUGGUCCCAUUUGGCUUAGUCAUAGGUCAUGGCUGGAAACUGUGUUAGUUCAAACAUAUCCUGUCUCUCCUCUUCUCAGUUGCCUUCUGAAACAGCUGUCUUUCCUGACUCCAGAUCUUCAAUCAUUCAUUCUCCACCCACUUGCUGCUGAUUUGCCCCUCCAGCUACAUCCUGAUGGAUAAAUUCAUUGGCCACUUUUAAAUUCUGUUAUCCUUGGCUUCUCCCAGCACUUGACACAUUAACCUGCUCUCCUUUGUCACCUGGGCUGCUCUCUCCUGGGACAUCUUCCCUUGGAUCAGGAUCCUUCUCAAGACUGGUGCCUCAGGCCUUUCUCCACUCCCCUUGUUUUCUUUCUGUUGCCAAAGGCAGAAAUGCCAGUGUCAUUUAGGGCCCCUCCUCUUCCCCACCACAUCCUGCCAUUGCUCACCCUUUCCCUUUAUUCCUUGCCUGGACCACUCCACAAACUCCUAACCACUCCUUCCUUCCUUAAUCUUUUCCUUCCCAAUCAUCUUCCAGAUUGCACUGCCAGAGGUCUAAUUCUAAAUUAAGAAAUGCUUGUGUUACUUUUUAGCUUAAAACUUUAGGACAUGAGAGGGAAUGUGGAAGUGUUGAUUAAACGGUAAUAGUUUCAGACAGACAGGAGGAAUAGGUUUUGAGAUCUAUUGCACAGAAGGCGACCAUGGUCAAUAAUAAUGUAUUAUACAGUUCAAAAUAGCUGAGGGAGUACAUUUCAAAUGUCUCACCGUAAAAAAUGGUAGGUGAGUGAAGAUAUGUUAAUUAAUUUGAUUUAAUCAUGCCACAUUGUAUACAUGAUCAAAAAUCACAUUGUUCACCGUAAAUGCAUGCUGCUGUGAUUUGUCAAUCAAAAAUAGUAAAUAUUUUAAAAACUAAAAAAAAGCCCUAUGAUGUCUGCCCACUAUCUAAGGUAUUUAAACAAUUAUUCAUUCAUUUAAGCCACAGGUAUUUACUGAGUAUCUUUUAUGAACCCUGUGCUGUUCUAACCAUUGUAGAUACAAUGAAGAAGAGGUCCAGAUAAAUUUCUACCCCUCAUGUAAAUCACUGUUACAAUCAUCACAACCUGCACCUGACUAGCUUUUUGGCCAUUUCAUCUUCCAGUCAGCCCUGGGAAAUGACUUUGGGAGAGUUCUGUAUUUUGUUGUACAAAGACAACAUUGAAUGUGUUCUAUUAUGGGCUUUUUGUGUCUGUGCUCUCCACUGAACUGUGAGAAAAACACAUUCUUACUGUUCUCUGCAUCUCUAAUACACAACGAGUAAUAGGUGUCAAAAAAUGUGGGUCUGACAAGUAUUUAAAAAGCAUCUGCGCUGGGUGUUGUGGGACACAUGCAGACAUGAUAAUUGGCUGUAGACGUUCACAGUCUCCCUCUCUCUACGGGGCCUGAUGGACAUUUCAGUUCCGCCCCCACAUUCGGCUACCUGAAGGGGCCUCCAGCCCAGCCAUGCCUCUGACUUGUCUUCCUUCAAAAUCAUUUUCCCUGUUUCUCUGUCUUCCUGUCUUCCUUUUCUCCCAAUUACUAACUUGUGGUCAUUGUUCAUUCAGCCUCCUUUGUACCCCACUCCCUGAGGAAAGAAUUUCUUCCUUUUUUGAUUCUGGGAGUUUUGGGGAUUGAAUAGAUUUCACCUGGACAUGGGGAGAAACCAAGAAGAGAAGUACGAGAUGGCGGCCAUCCUGUGAGACACAGAGUUAAAGAAGUUCGCAUGUGGAGUGCUGCCUGAGGCCAGCAUUUCCUGGUGUGAGAGAAGGACAUUGACACUGAUUAAGGCAUAAACCCUAUUUCAUUUACAAACUGAGUUCAAAAUUAUCAGGAAACUGCUAUGUGUCUUCUGUUUAAAAUAAUCUGUUUAUGUUUUAUUGAAGUGUGUUUUUAAGUGUUCAGAAAGAAAAAGGAGCUUAUUUAUUUAAGAAAAAUUGAAUGGAACAUAAAAACAUUGUUAUUGUCACACAUAUAUAUUAUUAAGUUUUUGUUAAUGUUUAAAUAACUAGAUUCAGCCCAGCUUCAGCUUGAAUGUCAUCUCCUUGGAGCAGCCUUUGGCCACUAUACUUAAGUAGAUCUUUCCUCUCAUUCAUAAUCAAUGUAUGUUUAAAAAAAUAAUCUGGAGUCUGUUAGGCUGAGACGGCCCUAGCAAUCUGGGAUUCUACACAAGCAAACAGAAAACCAACUCAGAAUGACUUAACCAGUCGGAAACCACCAGGUAAUCUCUAAAUGGGGAAUUCCAUUUAAGCCAUCAAAUAUUUUCUUUUCUUCUUUUUAUUUUGCAUAGAGACAGGAUCUAACUCUGUUGCUCAGGCUGGUCUCAAACUCCUGGCCUCAAGUGAUCUUCUCACCUUGGCCUCCCAAAGUGCGGAGAUUACAGGCAUAGACCACCAUGCCUGGCACACUUAUUUGUUGGUUUACUUAUUUAUUGUUUAUUUCCCUCACAAGAUAUUCAGCUCUAUGAGGAUAAGAACUAUUUCUAUAUAUAUUUUUUCAAAACUAAAAACCCAAAGGGUAAUAGUGUUUGGCUUAUGAUAGAUACUUCAACAUUUACUGAAUGAAUGAAAGAAUGAAUUGGAGUUGAGAAUAUUUUUUCUUAAGAUUUGAAGACUAUUAGGAGGUUUUACAAGGAUCUGGGGCCUACACCAUUGUCUGUUUUCUCUUUCUGCUUUUGAUGGAGAGAAGCAGCAAAUUAAAUCUUUAUCCUAAAAGUUUCCUAGAAUGCUCAACAGUUAGCAAAAGAAAAAGUUAAAAUAAAAGAAACAUUUAUGUUUUGUUUUGACAGAAAGCUGCUCUGCAGUGCUAGAUACGUUAAUCUAGAAUUUGAACCAUAUACAAAUAACUGAACCAAAAGCAAAAUUUAGGUGGGAAACUUUGAGCUUCUCUUUCUUUUUCUUACUCUCAGUUGAUCAGCUCAUUUCCUAGUUCAUUCACAGAGAGGAUUGGCAAAUAUCACCCAUUACACACAAAGCUUCCAAUCAAGUAGUUAAUGACUUAUUUGGAAAUAUAAGAGGGCAGACAGGAUCACAAGAUAUUUGGGGAAGGCCUCUAACAUGAAAGACAAUCUCCAAACCAAAUGAAUCAGGGGGAAAAAAGAAACUUGGAAGAAAAGAGAUAAUACAGGGAGCAGGAGAAAAUUAAAUAAAAUCCCUCAAACAAUAUUCUUAGAGACAUAUAAAAAGAUUUUCACUUAAAAACAGAAACAGGGUGCCAGCCUAAGAAAAACUGAAAAGUCCAAGAGUAAGAAAGAGCCCUAGUAACAAUAAAUACAUAAAUAAAAAGCAGAAAACUUCUAAAAUUCAAUGGAAGUGUUGGAAAAUCAAAUGAAGAAACUCUCUCAGAAAGUAGAACUAAAGACAAACAGAUGAAAAUAAAAGAGAAAAGAUAAGGCCAUUAAAGAAUCAGCCCAGGAACUCCAACCCCUGGAUAACACAGUUCCAGAAAGGGACAUGUCUUAGUCUAUUUUGUGCUGCCAUGGCAGAAUCCCACAGAUCGGAUAAUUUAUAAACAGUAGAAUUUUAUUUGUCUCAUGAUUCUGGAGACUGGGAAGUCCAAGAUCAAGGGGCUGCAUCUGGUGAGGACCUUUUUGCUGCAUCAUAACAUGGUGGAAGGCAUAACAUGAUCAGAAAGUGAGUGUGUGUGUGUGUGUGUGUGUGUGUGUUUGUGUGUGUGAGAGAGAGAGAGGGGAGGGGGCUGGACCCAUCCUUCGAUUAGGAACUCACUCCCCCAAUAACUAACCCACUCCCAAGAUAAUGGCAUUAACCAAUUCAUGAGGGCUCUUAAAAUUCCCACCUCUCAACUCUGUUGUACUGGGGAUUAAUAGAGGCAGCAGGACCAGAGCACCCAGUGAAAGACAUUAUCAACUAUAGGAAAAACAAAGAAUGGUUAGGAAGGAAAUUGAAUACUCUACAUGGCUCGAAUGUGAAUACUUAUUGUCAUAAAUGUUAAAUACAGUUUAGCAAAAAGCUAUGUUACAACAUACUCUGGCGGGAUGGGCAGAAAGGCCUUUGUGUUGCUGAGUGGCUAAAGAGUGUGGAGGACAGUGGAUGAGAGAGCCAAAUACCUAUCUCCAUAGCAGGAAGUCAAUAACUAAUGUCUAAAAUCAAGAAAGGACAGAACAAAUAUAUCAUUUCUAAAUAUCAAGGAAGUAUCAUGAGAAAAAACAAAUAAUUGACAGUGGUUGCCAGCACAACAGUUGCCAGAACAGCAGUUCUGGGUGUAGUGUGGCAGAAGACUGCUGCUUUUUUUUUUUUCAAAAUUUAUUAUGUCUUAUGCUAUUAGUUGAAUUUUAUAACUAUAUAUAUGUAGUAUUUUGAAAAAAAUUAAAAUAUUAGAAAGCACAUGCACCAAGAGAUGAAGAACAAUAACCAAAAAGAGAACUCAAAGGUCUAGGAACUUGACUGGGUGGAAAUGGGAGGAUUUUAAUGGGCCACGGGGUUCUACAGGAAGAGUGAAUGGUUUAAACAAAGAGGCAGAGACUAAUCAGUCAAAUUUUAGUUGAAACAAAAUUAGAGUUGAAUAUCUUUUCUCCAAAUCUAGGUCCAAUUAUACAUUCAACAAAAUUCAACAUUACUGACUAGUUAAUAUUUAUGCUUAUUUACAGAUAUAACAAAAUUUCAUAGCUAGGGAAGCAGUUCUGGGGCUGUCAGUGAUCUUGCUUGUUAUUCCAGACAACUGUCAUUCAGGGACUCCAGGUAGCAUGAUCCUGAGAGCAAAUGCACCAUUGUUAAAGGCAUAGACGUAUAAAUACAAACCUCUGCCACAGAGCACUAUUCACUCUUUGCGUCUGAAGAGAACCAGAACCCCUUAACUCUUGGGCGGCAGCCUGCCGUCUGAAUGUGAAGGAGAAGGAAGAAUUAGUACAAUGCCUGUUUUUGAGCUCUUCAAGUCACCAGCAUUUUGUAGGAGUGGAAUGCUUCAUCUCCUGGCCCCUAACUUCGGGGUAGCAAAAUGAGAAGCUAAUGCCUGCUGGAAAGGGUCCCAAGAUAGAGAAGCUAAUGCCUGCUGGAAAAGGUCCCAAGAUACUGAAAGCUCUGAGAUUGCACUAGAAGAGAAGAGCUCAAAUCCUGCCACUUACCCACAAAAAGCCAGGGAAGUGAGUGUCUACUGGAAAUUGUUUUAGGUGUGAAGUAUGAACUGUAUGUAUCUGAAGGCUUCCUGCCUUGGUGCUGCCAGAUGCCCUUGCUGUGUGACAGGAGGAGGUGAGAACAGGUUGAAAGAGGAGGAAACGACUAAUGACCCUUAGGAGCAGAUCGAUUACCACCCUAUGAAAGAGUAAGUUGACAGUUCAGACUAUGCAAAAACAAAUUGUUGGAAAAGCCCCCUUCAUUUUUCUUAGCCGAAAAGUAAACAGAUUGCUACAAUCUGGCAUCUCUGUAGUUUUACCCACUCUCUCCACACCCCAAAGUACAGCCAUUAAAGCCCCACGGUCACUACACAUGUCUCUGUGUUAUGACCUUGCUUUUCUUUCUCCUCGAGGGGACUCAUUGACCUUUCUCCAUCUGGCUCAAUCUGUGUCAAGUUGCUUCUUGACCCAUUUGUUUUUCCAUCGGUUGUGAGCUCUUUGAAGUUAGGGGUCAUGCUUUAUCCAUCCCUGCUUCUUGGCCAUAGCACAUAGUUGGUGCUCACUAAAUACUUGCUGAAACACUUGUCAACUAAAGAAAAGCCAAGUUUUUAAAGAAUUAAAGUGAGUUUUAUUUAGUCUUACUGAGGUUGGCAACCCAGGAGAGUCUUUCGGAGAGUUUCUGUUAGACUGCUCCAAAGCAGUGUUUCAGCCUACAGCUUAUACAUAAGGUGACAGUCAUUCUGCCUGUGCUCAAAAGUUAUGUAAGAGCAAAAUUUCACCAAAGUUUGGGUGCAAGGGUACAUCUAGUUAUAGAUUACAGAGGCAUAAUGAUUAAUCCUGUCAACCAUUAUCUUAUGUACAGCAAAAAGACAAAGGCCAGGAUCAUUGAAUUUAUCUUUUCUAAAAAUGCAGUGAUUUAGGUAAGAGAUGUGGUAACCUGGGCUCCAUCCUUCUUAUCAUCUUCAGGGCAUCCUUCCGAAGGGCUGUCCUCAGUCACUGAGUCAGGGGCUUUGUGAAAUUCUGCUGGCAGCUGAAUGAGCAAACAUGGCCUCUUAUGUUUGCUACUUUGUCUUACAGAGUAAGUGAAUGUAAAACAAAAACAAAAACAGAAUGAAUGAAUGAAAGUCUCUGUGAGAGAAGCAACCUAUCCAUUGCUGUUUGCCUUUCCCACAGUUCUGGGUUUGGCUAGGGAGAGUUCACAUCCCUGCUGAUGUUUAUUUUAAAUUUCGAAGCAAUAAGGAAAUUGAAAAAUGGACACAAAAUUCAGGGGUAUCUAUUUCCUUUCUAUUCAUACAGCCUUAUAUUUUGCCUUCUAAGCUAUUCUUUUCCUUGUAUUCUUUUUAGACUCUCAUUCAGAUUAUGUUACCUCAAUAUUCUUCCCUUAGAAGACUUUAAGAAGCAGAUUCCAUUCAACAGUUUUACUCUACAGAAAUACUGUGUGUAAGGCCGGGUGCGGUGGCUCAUGCCUGUAAUCCCAGCACUUUGGGAGGCUGAGGCAGGUGGAUCCCCUGAGGUCAGAAGUUUGAGACCAGCUGGCCAACAUGGUGAAAUCCCAUUUCUACUAAAAAUACAAAAUUUAGCUGGGUGUAGUGGUGCACACCUGUAAUCCCAGCUCCUCAGCUACUCAGGAGGCUAAGGGAGGAGAAUUGCUUGAACCUAGGAGAUGAAGGUUGCAGUGAGCCAAGAUUGCACCACUGCACUCCUGCCUGGGCAACAGAGUGAGACUCCAUCUCAAAAAAAAAAAAAAAAGAAGAAGAAGAAGAAGAGGAAAUACUGUGUGUUUUCCUCAGUGUUCAUGAAGCUUAAUGUGCAGGUAUUUUCAUAAGGUUCUAUAUUUUAUUGAAAAACAGACAACAAAACAAGAAACAGACUAGUAAAAUUGCUGAAUAUGUGCAUGGUUUGCCAGCUGGGCCAAGAGGAGGCAGCAGUGAGCUAACCCAGGGCUUGCUGUGUGGCUUGGAGGAUCCUGUCACCAUCAGCCUGCAUUGUGACCUUGCUUUCAUUUUCUCUCUCUGAGAUGAGGGAGUUAGACUACAUGAUCCUUAGAGUCUCUUCCAGCUCCAAAAUUCUCUGUGUAAGUUUUAAAUAGAUGUUUGGGACUGAUUUAGGUCUGGGAAGAGAAAAGUGAAGGAAACAGACAAAAAUUCCCUCCGUUUAUGAAGCUUACAUUCCCAUGGGGCCUUCCAGACCCUACGGUUGUCAUAGUGGCGAGGAGGCUGCCUGGAUUGGAGGGUAUGAGGCUGGGUAGGAAGUCAGACCAGGGCUUGACCAGUAGGCAUCAGACAGAUCCAGGGACCAGGCAAAGCAGGAAAUGAAUGAAAUUCACUGGGUCCAAGUGAGAUGGGAGCAGGGAACAGGCUCUCCACAGAGCCAAGCAAUCAGAGGGAUUGUGCUAGGUCCCUAACUGACCAGGAGGAGACAGGCAGAGUUGUACCCACAGGACAGUUGGGCCUGCAGAACCUCCAGAACCAGAAAGUCCGUUUAGCAGCCUGACUCAGCAAGGCUUGCUUCUGCUCCUGGGGAGAUGCACAGGUCCCAGCAUGCAAGUGACUGGGAGGGAACAUGGAGAACACAGCAAAGAGGAGGAGCUAGAAAGAGCACCGGAGGAGUGAGGGGAGGAACAGCUCAGAGCCUUAUAGCUGACAAGCCUUCUGUAAGGGUGGCGUGAAUGAGUGAAUGACACAGAGGGGAGUGUUUGCUACUUUGCUUGAUCUGUGAGCACUGGUCAGCUGCCUCUUAUUAUAUGCCUCAACUUUAUAAUGAUAUGAUUAACUGCUAUUCUCAGGUCUUCAGUUACUCUUUAUACUUAAAGUUCUAGAGGCUCAGUUCUGAAUGGAAUCUAUAUAAUUAGCCAGUAGUCUCUUUAUGAUGAGGUAACUUCUGUCGAAGGACUGUGAUGUUAUACUCUGCUGAACACUUUACGUGUAUGAUUAUCUUUACCUUUAAUCUCACUACAAUCCUAUGAGGUAGAAAGUAUCUUUCACAUUUUAUAGAAGAGAAAACUGAGGUUCCAAGAAACUAAGCAUUUUGCUCAUGGUCAUAGGACUAAGAGAAGAUACAUGACGUCCAGAGUUGCUUUUCUCUUUCUCUCUCUCUUUCUCUAUCUCUUUCUCUCUCUCUCUCUCUCUCUCUCUCUCUCUCUCCCCCCUCCCCUCUCUGUAUCUCUUCCUCUCUCCUCUCCAAGUUUUCAGUGUGGUGAAAGUAAUGCAGAUUAGUGACUAACCACUGUGGGUAGCAUGGGUUUUUUCUUCUUUUUCCCCUUUUUAAUUACACAUCCUUUCCUUUCGUUUUCCUGGUGCUCUAAGCCAGCUCACCCCUGGUUUUUUAUUCUGCCUUGUUUGGGAUGGAGGUGGUAUGCAUGGAAGAGCAAAAGCAAAAACUUUAGGUAGCCUCAGCCCUAAAGUAGAGCCAGGAUCCACACCAAUGUCUCCUCUUAACUGCCUCAACCACUUGCCUUGCUGUCUGCCCAUCUUUGAAGUGGAGAUCUUAGUGGUUAGCCUCUGGGCCUCACCUUCAUCUCUCCCUGUCCUCAUCUUGUUUGCUUUCUUCCCAGACUAACUCAGCUCCAGGAUUGUCCCUUCUGGAAGCUAUCCCAUGCGGCUGUCCCUGCCUUAUACAGGAUCUACCUUGGCAGAGGGAAAACAACUCUUGGUCCUUGUCAUGGUAAAUUUUAUGUGUCAACUUGACUGGGCUAAGGGAUGCUCAGAUACCAGAUAAAAUAUUGUUGCUGGGUGUUUUCAGAGGUCAUCAGCAUUGGAAUCAGUAGAUGAAGUAAAGAAGAUUGCCCUCACCAAUGAGGGCAGGCAUCACACAUCUAUCGAGGACCUGAAUAGAACAAAAACGCAGAGAGGAGGGAUAAGGAAGGACUUGUUAAAGAUUACAAAAUUAUAGCUAGAUAGGAGGAAUAAGAGGAAUAAGUUAUAGUGUUCUAUACCACUCUAGGAUGACUACAGUUAACAAUAAUGUACAGUUUUAGAUAACUAGAAGGAGGACAUUGAAUGUUCCCAACACAAAGAAAUGAUAAAUGUUUGAGAUGACAAGUAUGUUAAUUACCCUUAUGUUAUCACUACAAAUUAUAUGGCUCUAAACAUCACUAUGUACUCCAAGAAUAUGUACAAUUAUCAUUUGUCAAUUAAAAAUAUAUACAUACCAUGGAAUACUAUGCAGCUAUAAAAAAGAAUGGGAUCAUGUUUUCUGCGGGAACAUGGAUGGUGCUGGAGGCCAUUAUCCUUAGCAAACUAACACAGGAACAGAAAACCAAAUACUGCAUGUUCUCACUUAUAAGUGGAAGCUAAGUGAUAACUCAUGGACACAAAGAAGGGAACAACAGACACUGGGGCCUACUUGAGGGUGGAGGGUGGGAAGAGGGAGAGGAGCAGAAAAAAUAAUGAUUGAAUAGUAGGCUUAGUAUCCGGGAGAUGAAAUAAUCUACCUGACAAAUCCCCAUGACACGAGUUUACCUACAUAACACAUCUGCGUAUAUACCCCUGAACCUAAAAUAAAAAUUAAAAAAUAAAAUAAAAACAGAAAGGUGAAGGAUGGAAGGAAAUUAGUUUCUUUGCUUGAGUUGAGACAUCCAUCUUCUCCUCCCCUCAG
rnacentral:lncRNA from 10 species